rnacentral:misc_RNA from 1 species
AAUCGAGGUCUAUGUCAUCCAUAAGCUAUGCUUUGGCAUCCACCUAUGCGGGUUUCUCGACUUCCCCGAAGGCCCUGUUGUAGUUUCCCGAAGGCGCCCUCGCUUGGACUGUUGUAUCUGCCUUGAAAAUCCCCGCGUCAGCUGGAAGUUGAUAAGGGGUAUUGGUCCAGGUCCCGCCGCCUUCAUUUGAGCGGCAAAGGGCCGCCUCAAGAAAUUACUAAUGAGAUAUGAGAUAACGAACACACGGGG